GGCAGAUGGAGACACCCAGGAGAAAGAAGAGGGCGAAUUGGAAGAGGCCACCCAGAAAGGACGGUGUGUGACACUAGGGAGCCAAGCAUGGAGAGCCGAGGACUAACGCUUGGAAGGAAAUGUGGACCAGAAGGUUCCGGAUGAGGGAAGGACUGGCGGCUACACUCUGCCUUCCGAGACAACGAGGAAUAAUCUCACUUCAGUCAGUUCAACCCUUGUAAAACAGCUACUGUGUGCAAGACACGGAGGGAAAGCUGAAGUAGAGAAACCACAGACGCUGUCUUCAAAGGGUUUAAUCUAAUAUUAGUGAUGAGAAAAAUAGGGUGCAGAGCUUAAGGCAUCCUGGAAAAACAUAUCUUUGAGAAGCCUGGACAUCAAUCUGCUUUAGAAGACUAGAAACUCUGCCUUUAUGUCUUUAAGGGAACAAUAGUCCUUAACUUUGAUACUGUGGCUCUUUAGCUCUUUUUUUCCCUAUAUUUUUUAUAUAGUUUUUUGGUAUUAUUUAGACCUCCUUAACCCCACGGUCAUAAAGGUAUUCUCCCAUCAUUUUUUUCUAUCCAUUAGCUUCAUAGUUUUACUUUUUUACAUUCAGUUAUCUAAUCCAUCUGGAGUUCUCCUUCCCAUAUGGUGUGAGAUAGGGAUCUAACUAUAUUUUUCUCCAUGGGGUGAGCAAAUUUUCCAACAACCCAUGUCAAACAAUCCAUUCUUUCCAAAUUGGUUUGGGGAAGUUUCCAAAUAGACAUGAGUAUGUUCUGAGCUCUCUGGUUUGUUCAUGUGUCAGUACCACAAGGUUUUGUCACUGUGGGUUUUUAGUUAGUCAUCAUGCUUGAAGGGCAAGUUCCCCAUUCCAAAUUCUUCUGUGUUAAGAUUGCUUUGUCUAUCCACGGGCCUUUAUCCUCCCUUAUAAUGUUUAGAGUAAGUUUGUCAAGUUUAUGAGAACUGUGUUGGGUUGAUGAAUAAAUGCAAGGAAAACUGGCAA
rnacentral:lncRNA from 1 species